CCAUUAGAGCGGCCCGCGUCUGAUUAGCUAGUUGGUGAGGUAAAGGACCUACCAAGGCGACGAUCCAUAGCUGGUCUGAGAGGACGACCAGCCACACUGGGACUGAGGCACGGCCCAGACUCCUACGGGAGGCAGCAGUGGGGAAUUUUGGACAACGGGCGCAAGCCUGAUCCAGCCAUGCCGCGUGCAGGAUGAAG
rnacentral:rRNA from 1 species